UACAGAGGUCUCAAGCGUUGUUCGGAUUCAUUGGGCGUAAAGGGUGCGUAGGCGGCGCGGUAAGUCGGGUGUGAAAUCUCGGAGCUUAACUCCGAAACUGCAUUCGAUACUGCCGUGCUUGAGGACUGGAGAGGAGACUGGAAUUUACGGUGUAGCGGUGAAAUGCGUAGAGAUCGUAAGGAAGACCAGUGGCGAAGGCGGGUCUCUAGUACGGUACUGACGCUGAGACGCGAAAGCGUGGGGAGCGAACAGG
rnacentral:rRNA from 1 species